GUACUAUCUUACGGCCUAAGGUAUUUUUGGGUGCAGUUUUUAAGCCAAUUUUUUGUGUCAAAAAUAUCAAGAGUGCUUGUAUAUCCCUAUUGACUGUGAAGCCAAUUUCGGCCUUAAGUGUUUAACAAUAAGUUUUCUUUUGCUUUAUUAUGGAUGGAACUCCAUUUGGUCAGAAAUAUGAUCCUAGCCUAUUUGAGCACCAUGGGGUAGGUUGUAGUUUGAGCGACAGUAAAAUGUUUAGACACACUGACGUUUUAUUGAUCUGAAAUACAUACAAGUAUUACUAAAACAUUACAAUAAAGAAUUAACCUUAAUUAGCAUUGAUGAGUACAUUCAAGUUCAUUGACAAUGUUGAUGAAUGUAAUUAUUGUAACAAGAUGUAAUUUUUUAUGGAUUUUUUUUAAAUCGAAUUAUUUUUUGGGGACAAUAGAGUGUAUAUAUUAUGCAUAUCAGAACAAUAAAAUCAGCUGUUAGUCUAAAGCAUUUACAUAUUUUGAAAGAAUCUUCAUUUCUUAGCAACACAGCGGUGUAGCCAGCCACGAAAAUUGAUCAACAGUUAUUUUUCUAAGGCACAUUUUUGUUUUCAAAUCUUUUAUAUGCAUCGGCGUAGAGUCCAUACGAAUUCCCAUAAACAAUAUUUAUUCGGCCUCUCCAGUCCUGAAGCCAUAGCGCUUGAUAACGCACUUCUUCCAGUCUGCUCCGAUUUCCGGUACCUCGGUUCGCUUAUUCAGGGCGAUGGCGAAAUAGAUCGGACAGUUACGCACAGAAUUAACGCAGGAUGGAUGAAAUGGCGGCAGGUAACGGGAACAACUUGUGACCCUCGUAUUCCCCUUAAACUUAAGGGGAAAAUUUACAAGAGUAUGGUCAGACCUGCUGUCUUGUAUGGAUCAGAGUGCUGGCCCACAAAAGCGACGAAUGAAAGACAAUUGCAUGCGGCAGAGAUGAGAAUGUUAAGAGGUAUGCGUGGGGUUACGCGAAUGGAUAGAGUGAGGAAUGAGUAUAUAAGAGGAAGUUUGAAAGUGGCGCCGGUAUCAGAAAAACUGCGUGGAAACCGGCUGUCGUGGUAUGGGCAUGUGAUGCGGAGGAAUGAGAGUCAUGUUGUGAGGAAGGUGAUGAGUAUGAACGUGGACGGAUAUAGUGGAAGGGGAAGACCAAAAAAACGAUGGAUGGAUUGUGUGAAAGUAGAUAUGGUAAGAAAGAAUGUUACUUGUGAGAUGACGUCAGAUAGAAGAAUAUGGAAGAAGAAAACAUGCUGCGCCGACCCCAAAUGAAAUUGGGAUAAGGGCAGGAGGAUGAUGAUGAUGAAUAUUUAUUUCACUACUGAUAUAAAUGAUUUUGUAACGGAAAUGUCAACCAAUUGUCGCGGCUAACUACAUCAUACAUUUAAGACUUGUCUUUUAUUACGAGUAUUCUAAUGGUUUGUAAGGAACAAAUUCACUGAUAAAACAUACUUAUUCUACUGGGAAACUGAUACUCAAGCAAUAAAAUCGAAUAUGAAGCGAUUCGACGAACUCGUACAUACAUAAGUACAUACCUUCAAUGCGUUAUCUAUAACGAGUAACAUAAACUGCAAGCAACUAAUUGUUUACGCAAUUAUUACCAUAAUUACGAGAUAGCCUAGCGACACUAGGAUCAAGACCUAAAGAUGGACCAGUCUAUCUUGAUACUUGGUAGAAUUUAUUUCAAAGAUAUCUAGCAAUCUGCUACUGCGGAUAGGUGUAACGGGACGGUCAAUAAUAGUACUAUAAAGUUUUGAAUACUAAAACAAAAAAACACUUGUCAUAAGAAUUACCGAAUAGACUGAAGUUUUAUACAACGAAACUUCCCUAAAAACGUGUGAUCACAAAAUCACGUAGCACCUAUUUCUCAUGCCAAAGAAAAUCUCAACACAGCAUGAAUUUGUAAUAAUUGUUUGUGAUGUAACUUUUGAAAUAAGUAAUUUCCUUUUCAGCAAGUAUCAAGAUAUACUAGUAUGACAUUUACAUCUGAACUAAAAGUUCAAAGUACUAUUUCUUUAACUAAUAAUUAUAUUCAAGAAACCUGCAUCCGGCCGUUGUAAAAUGAAAUAAAAUAAUUUGCAUUUCAACCUUGCACUCGUAACAAUGAGGAUUGUCAAUGUCAAGGACUGUGGUAUAGCAUUAAACUUUAUGUGAACAAUUUUGAUACUUUAAUAGAAAUUAGUCAUAUAAUAAUAUUGGUAGAAUUUUUAUUAUUUGUAAAUUCUUCAUAGGUAUAG